rnacentral:rRNA from 1 species
CCUACGGGUUGCACCAGUGAGGAAUAUUGGACAAUGGGCGAGAGCCUGAUCCAGCCAUGCCGCGUGCAGGAAGACUGCCCUAUGGGUUGUAAACUGCUUUUAUACGGGAAGAAACCCAUCUACGUGUAGAUGGCUGACGGUACCGUAAGAAUAAGCAUCGGCUAACUCCGUGCCAGCAGCCGCGGUAAUACGGAGGAUGCAAGCGUUAUCCGGAAUCAUUGGGUUUAAAGGGUCCGUAGGUGGAUAAUUAAGUCAGAGGUGAAAUCCUGCAGCUCAACUGUAGAAUUGCCUUUGAUACUGGUUAUCUUGAAUUAUUGUGAAGUGGUUAGAAUAUGUAGUGUAGCGGUGAAAUGCAUAGAUAUUACAUAGAAUACCAAUUGCGAAGGCAGAUCACUAACAAUAUAUUGACACUGAUGGACGAAAGCGUGGGGAGCGAACAGGAUUAGAUACC